GAAGUCGGCUGGACGGUCGCUGCCCAUUCGGGUGGAGGAAAGUCCGGGCUCCAUAGGGCAGGGCGCCAGGUAACACCUGGGGGGCGUGAGCCUACGGAAAGUGCCACAGAAAACAGACCGCCAAAGCCCGUCAGGGCUGGUAAGGGUGAAAAGGUGCGGUAAGAGCGCACCGCGGCGCUGGUAACAGUCGCUGGCACGGUAAACCCCGCUCGGAGCAAGACCAAAUAGGGGAGCAUGACGUGUGGCCCGCACGGCUCCCGGGUAGGUCGCUACAGGCGUCCCGGUGACGGGCGUCGCAGAUGAAUGAUCGUUCUCGACAGAACCCGGCUUAUAGGCCGACUUCCUCU
rnacentral:RNase_P_RNA from 1 species